UACAGAGGUCUCAAGCGUUUGUUCGGAUUCAUUGGGCGUAAAGGGCGCGUAGGCGGCGGGGUAAGUCGGGUGUGAAAUCUCAGAGCUCAACUCUGAAACUGCACUCGAUACUGCUCUGCUUGAGGACUGGAGAGGAGACUGGAAUUCAUGGUGUAGCAGUGAAAUGCGUAGAGAUCAUGAGGAAGACCAGUGGCGAAGGCGGGUCUCUGGACAGUUCCUGACACUGAGGCACGAAGGCCAGGGGAGCAAACGGG
rnacentral:rRNA from 1 species